GACGAACGCUGGCGGCGUGCCUAAUACAUGCAAGUCGAACGAACUCUGGUAUUGAUUGGUGCUUGCAUCAUGAUUUACAUUUGAGUGAGUGGCGAACUGGUGAGUAACACGUGGGAAACCUGCCCAGAAGCGGGGGAUAACACCUGGAAACAGAUGCUAAUACCGCAUAACAACUUGGACCGCAUGGUCCGAGUUUGAAAGAUGGCUUCGGCUAUCACUUUUGGAUGGUCCCGCGGCGUAUUAGCUAGAUGGUGAGGUAACGGCUCACCAUGGCAAUGAUACGUAGCCGACCUGAGAGGGUAAUCGGCCACAUUGGGACUGAGACACGGCCCAAACUCCUACGGGAGGCAGCAGUAGGGAAUCUUCCACAAUGGACGAAAGUCUGAUGGAGCAACGCCGCGUGAGUGAAGAAGGGUUUCGGCUCGUAAAACUCUGUUGUUAAAGAAGAACAUAUCUGAGAGUAACUGUUCAGGUAUUGACGGUAUUUAACCAGAAAGCCACGGCUAACUACGUGCCAGCAGCCGCGGUAAUACGUAGGUGGCAAGCGUUGUCCGGAUUUAUUGGGCGUAAAGCGAGCGCAGGCGGUUUUUUAAGUCUGAUGUGAAAGCCUUCGGCUCAACCGAAGAAGUGCAUCGGAAACUGGGAAACUUGAGUGCAGAAGAGGACAGUGGAACUCCAUGUGUAGCGGUGAAAUGCGUAGAUAUAUGGAAGAACACCAGUGGCGAAGGCGGCUGUCUGGUCUGUAACUGACGCUGAGGCUCGAAAGUAUGGGUAGCAAACAGGAUUAGAUACCCUGGUAGUCCAUACCGUAAACGAUGAAUGCUAAGUGUUGGAGGGUUUCCGCCCUUCAGUGCUGCAGCUAACGCAUUAAGCAUUCCGCCUGGGGAGUACGGCCGCAAGGCUGAAACUCAAAGGAAUUGACGGGGGCCCGCACAAGCGGUGGAGCAUGUGGUUUAAUUCGAAGCUACGCGAAGAACCUUACCAGGUCUUGACAUACUAUGCAAAUCUAAGAGAUUAGACGUUCCCUUCGGGGACAUGGAUACAGGUGGUGCAUGGUUGUCGUCAGCUCGUGUCGUGAGAUGUUGGGUUAAGUCCCGCAACGAGCGCAACCCUUAUUAUCAGUUGCCAGCAUUAAGUUGGGCACUCUGGUGAGACUGCCGGUGACAAACCGGAGGAAGGUGGGGAUGACGUCAAAUCAUCAUGCCCCUUAUGACCUGGGCUACACACGUGCUACAAUGGAUGGUACAACGAGUUGCGAACUCGCGAGAGUAAGCUAAUCUCUUAAAGCCAUUCUCAGUUCGGAUUGUAGGCUGCAACUCGCCUACAUGAAGUCGGAAUCGCUAGUAAUCGCGGAUCAGCAUGCCGCGGUGAAUACGUUCCCGGGCCUUGUACACACCGCCCGUCACACCAUGAGAGUUUGUAACACCCAAAGUCGGUGGGGUAACCUUUUAGGAACCAGCCGCCUAAGGUG
rnacentral:rRNA from 3 species